AAAAAGUCUGCACCUGAAGAAAGCAGUUGCAAAGAAAUUACAAGGCCUUUGGAGAAUAAUGCUGUUGGAGAGGAUGCUACAUCAAUAGAGGGACAUGUGAAAGUCCUGCAGGACCAAUAUAGAAGGACACAGUCAGAGACUCACAUUGUUGAAUAUCGAAUGAGGAGGAACUUUGCCUGGAGGCGGCAGGAGAUUACUAGUGGUAUGACUGUUGAAGAUGUCAACAAAUAUCCAUCAGGGCCUUAUCAAGAAAUUGGUUUCCUGUAUAAAUGUGUUCAACUGAGCCGCCACUUUCGAGAACAUUUUGGACACAUUACAUCCAGCGUGCUACGGCUUGCUCAAGGGAAAUCCCCUUUAGCAAAGCUGCACAAAGAAGCUAGAGAAGAAUCUCUCAUUGAAGACCAUCUUGUGACUCCUAAACUUUAUUUAGCACUU